rnacentral:rRNA from 1 species
UUGCUCCACCGGAAAAAGAAGAGUGGCGAACGGGUGAGUAACACGUGGGUAACCUGCCCAUCAGAAGGGGAUAACACUUGGAAACAGGUGCUAAUACCGUAUAACAAUCGAAACCGCAUGGUUUUGAUUUGAAAGGCGCUUUCGGGUGUCGCUGAUGGAUGGACCCGCGGUGCAUUAGCUAGUUGGUGAGGUAACGGCUCACCAAGGCCACGAUGCAUAGCCGACCUGAGAGGGUGAUCGGCCACAUUGGGACUGAGACACGGCCCAAACUCCUACGGGAGGCAGCAGUAGGGAAUCUUCGGCAAUGGACGAAAGUCUGACCGAGCAACGCCGCGUGAGUGAAGAAGGUUUUCGGAUCGUAAAACUCUGUUGUUAGAGAAGAACAAGGAUGAGAGUAACUGUUCAUCCCUUGACGGUAUCUAACCAGAAAGCCACGGCUAACUACGUGCCAGCAGCCGCGGUAAUACGUAGGUGGCAAGCGUUGUCCGGAUUUAUUGGGCGUAAAGCGAGCGCAGGCGGUUUCUUAAGUCUGAUGUGAAAGCCCCCGGCUCAACCGGGGAGGGUCAUUGGAAACUGGGAGACUUGAGUGCAGAAGAGGAGAGUGGAAUUCCAUGUGUAGCGGUGAAAUGCGUAGAUAUAUGGAGGAACACCAGUGGCGAAGGCGGCUCUCUGGUCUGUAACUGACGCUGAGGCUCGAAAGCGUGGGGAGCAAACAGGAUUAGAUACCCUGGUAGUCCACGCCGUAAACGAUGAGUGCUAAGUGUUGGAGGGUUUCCGCCCUUCAGUGCUGCAGCUAACGCAUUAAGCACUCCGCCUGGGGAGUACGACCGCAAGGUUGAAACUCAAAGGAAUUGACGGGGGCCCGCACAAGCGGUGGAGCAUGUGGUUUAAUUCGAAGCAACGCGAAGAACCUUACCAGGUCUUGACAUCCUUUGACCACUCUAGAGAUAGAGCUUCCCCUUCGGGGGCAAAGUGACAGGUGGUGCAUGGUUGUCGUCAGCUCGUGUCGUGAGAUGUUGGGUUAAGUCCCGCAACGAGCGCAACCCUUAUUGUUAGUUGCCAUCAUUUAGUUGGGCACUCUAGCAAGACUGCCGGUGACAAACCGGAGGAAGGUGGGGAUGACGUCAAAUCAUCAUGCCCCUUAUGACCUGGGCUACACACGUGCUACAAUGGGAAGUACAACGAGUCGCGAAGUCGCGAGGCUAAGCUAAUCUCUUAAAGCUUCUCUCAGUUCGGAUUGUAGGCUGCAACUCGCCUACAUGAAGCCGGAAUCGCUAGUAAUCGCGGAUCAGCACGCCGCGGUGAAUACGUUCCCGGGCCUUGUACACACCGCCCGUCACACCACGAGAGUUUGUAACACCCGAAGUC